AGCAGCGUGGCUCAGUGGAAAGAGCACGGGCUUGGGAGUCAGAGGUCUUGGGUUCUAAUCCUGGCACCGCUG
rnacentral:tRNA from 1 species